UGAUUUUGUAUUUUUUAUUGAAUAAAUGAUUUUAAAAGGUAAUAACAAUGUUUAAAACUACAUUAUCUUCACAGCCAUUGCUUACAUACUCAGAUAACCCAUCUAUAUAUAUUCUUUCAACCCUCCCCGCACUUUUCUUUUGCAAUUUUUUGCUUUUUUUCUUUUAUUUUUUUUUUUUGUGUAUAUUUUUUGUGAUUUUUUUUUUUUUUUGGAGUCAUACUAUCAUAAUAAAUGCCCAUUUCAAGUCUCGUCACACUAACAGCAAUUCAAUAGGAAAGGAGGAAGGGUCUAGCUCUACAGGGGGAUGGAUUUAAAGUUCCCAGUUCAUAUUAUUCCAUCAACAUUUUUCAAGUUACUAAAGCAGAAGAAAAACAAAAGAUCCAAAGGAAAAGAAACAAAAGUUGGUAUGAGGAGUUACACCAGGUAACCCUCCCAGCCCAUCAGGCCACUGCAACAGAAAAAAGUCAUUUUGUACAGUGACACGUCUUAGAAGUCAGUGUCUCAAAAAUUUAGAACAUAGAAAACCACUAAAAUAAUUUUGAAACUAGAUCCAAAAUAUUCUUUUGAAAAGAAUUUAUUUUGAUGUACAAAAACAGUCAUUUUCUUUUUUAUUUUCUUUUUUAAUAGCUUUUAUAAUAAAAGUUUCAAACACAAGUUUAUUGUAGUUCUUAUUUCAUUUGUCAUUAUCAUUAUUAUUAUUGAUUCACUUAUUCUUUUUUUUUAACUCUUGUAUCAGUGCGAUUGUAUACCAGUGCAGCUACUGGGUCCAGAGUAAAGAAAACAGGCUUUUUCAUCUUUAAUGGCAUAAAAAAUAAGGAAAAAUCCAUCUUUUAUACAAAGUAUAACUGCUGGUCUUUAGGGAAAAAACAUUUAUAAACCCAUAAAGCUAGGAGGCACACCAUGGGAUUUUCAUUUUUGAAAUUAUAGCAAUAAUAAUAAUAAUAAUAAUAAUAAUAAUAAUAAUAAUAAUAAUAAUAAUAAUAAACAAAACAAGUCACAACAAUUUGCAACCAUUUUUACCAUCCUUGAUGCCAUGUACGGCUUCAGAGAUAGACUCAAUGAAAAUUCAUUGAAAAAAAUCGGGUUGCUUCAUAAGUCAAGACAGUUGAGAAAUCGCACAAAUAAAAAGACAAAGAACAUUUUGUCAAUUGCAGGGGUGUUUUUUGGAAGGACAGGAAGCCAGGCCUGAAGAGCAGCAUUUGGGCAUGGCCGCUGGCAUCUUUGGUUCAGUCAAACAUACGAAGGUAACAUGAGCUUGAGCAUUCCACGAAAUAUGAGAAUGACCACGGAAGGAAUGCUGAGGCUGAACUCUAACCCUGGUAUGGAACCAAAACACGAUCUGCUACAACAAACUACAAAUGUCGUUCCAUAAUAUCCUAUGAGGUAUCAAUGCUUUAAACAGUUAAUCAGUACAGAAGCAGGACUAUACUCUGCUUUAACUCUUUGUCCCGCUGCAGGAGAUGCUUUCCUUCGACAUAGUUUAAAAGAGGCGGCGAGAGCCUCGACAACACGAUCUAGUCAACAACUCAAAUCUUGCCCUUUCAGAGGAGGUCAAACGAUUCAGCAGCUAGAAGGAAAACUAAGGAUGUGCUCUGUAAACACAGCACCCAAUCUUCCAGGAGAGGCAACGACCACUACUACUGCCACCUUCUACCGAGCGACACGCAUCACACCUUGACAAACUAGGCCAUGAGGUUGGGCCACAGUGUCGGGAGGAAUCGAGGGGAAGGAGGUUAACGUGUGACUUCUUGUCCUUUCAAACCUGCAGGGGUGUUGACUUGCACUGGUAGGAAAAAAAAAAAACACCUGUUGAACAGAUCUGCAUAUAUCAAGGAUAGUAAAGGUAACACAUGUAGGAUUUUCUCUUAAUGCAUCACUGCCGAACUGUAAUAACGACCAUUAACAGUACAUUCCAUAGCCCCGGUGACGUGUUGCUGCUGGAACUUUUCCUUCUUCGUUACAUGAGUCUGAAUAUCUGUCUGGUUUUCCCAUAGGGAAUUGAUCCCAAAAUCAACCACACUGGACUGAACAGAGGCUCUUCUCUUGGGGCUACUGCUUAUAAUGGUGAUCCUUCGGAAAUAAAAUGUGCCGUCAUGAGUCAUUUCACAGCGACGCACCAAAGAGAAAAUCUUACAUGCAGCAUCUUUAAGUAUGAUAUGAUCAAUGAGUCCGCAUGACCAGUCACGAGCUGUGACCACCCCAAUAUGAGGUCCGAUAGCACCAUAUUUGUCUUUUAAAUCUCUUAAUGGUUAAUAAGAGUGUCUAAGCCAUAGAUCAAGCAUAUCAUGGAUAAAACCAUAGGUCUCAUACUCAUACAUACAUGCAACUAAAUACAUUGCAUGUGUAUACAAAGACAUAUAUGUAAAAGAGCAUGGUCAAUUUGGUUUUGCAGCAGAAAAAUUCAGGUUGUGCUGUAUUAAAUGGACCAGGAAACGAAUGCCUGACUGUUCCUCCCCCAUAUGUAGUGUACUUUGCAGAUAAGGAUACAUUUUUCUGGAGGCAUAAAGCUGUCUUCCCAUGGUUUAAACAUUAAGAGAACAACACCACAGUCCCCAACAUCUUUUUAAGAGAAUGCCUUUAUGAAGUCUAUGUGUGGAACCAGCUGGGCUAGAAGGAGUCAUACAGGAUCCCCUAUAUGUCUAAGAAAGCAUUAGCACUAGCAUUCAAACUGAUGGAACCACCAGCAGAGGCCCUUUCCCACACUGUGGUGUGAACACGAAGCUGGAAAAGAGCAAACCAUGGUUCAGAGGAACACUCAGAGCAUCAUCUACUAGUCCAUUAUUUAUUAAAUCAUUCAUUUAAGGCAACACAACUGAAAUCUGGGUCAUUUCGGGUUACUGUGGAUGGAGUGCCAAAAGCCCUUGACAUUUUGCAUAAAGAAAAAUAUAACCUGUCAGUUAGUAAAGGCUGUUACGAAGAAAGAUGUUGGUCAAGUAACAAGAACCUCUCAAAAAUUCCAGUUAGCAAACUAAAAACCAAAACGAGCGGAUUGCACUGUGAUUCUCAACAGCUUAAACAUUCUGGAAAAGUAAACCCAACUAGCCUAGCAUGUGUGUGUGUGUGUAUGUAACUCACAACAAGUAAUAUUUGGAUGGGAAAUGGCUUCUUAAGUCCUUACAAAGCCCUGGCUUUUUAUGUGUGUAGACCUCAACUGUGAGCUGCUCGGCCCCCAUGCAGAGAUUCUGUUCCGACUGAUUCAACCGUUUGCCAAACAGCUGACAAAACAGACCACAAAUCAAAACAUUCCCUGUGCCGUGGACACACACAUCAAGGGGAUCUCACUGAGGAGCAGAGUGUUAGAGGAGAACGGUGGUAGUGCGGUUUCAACAACUAAAUCAACUAGCUGCGUUACGGCGACAGCUUCAGUUUCUAAACAUGACAUGCACUUCUAUGACACAAACAUGUUACGUAGAUCGCUGCUUUUGUGCGUCACGUGGUGCGUCUUCAUUCAAAAUGACAUUUUUAAUACAUCAUAAUUGGUGGACGAGUGACAAUGGUUAGCUAUAAUCUGAAAAGGCAAGACAAUGUUUCCACAACUACACGGGCAACAUACAAGACGUCCGACAAAUGACUGACACCGCCGGGUUAGACGAGCAUUCAGUGAUGCAGCCUGGCCUGAAGCUGGCCGCGUAUGUUUGCAUUCAGAGGCUGGAGAAGACCCAAUAUGUCUACCAAAUGCAAACACUUCAAGCCAAACAACAGACUACUCUUACAAAGUGUAGAAUAAAGAUAAGAGAAUAUGGCUUUAAGUAGUUAGCAUGUCCCUGUCAAGUGACUCCCUGCCAGUAAACUCAGAAACCAACAGACUUUUA
ensembl:lncRNA